UACGUAGGGGGCUAGCGUUAUCCGGAAUUACUGGGCGUAAAGGGUGCGUAGGUGGUUUCUUAAGUCAGAGGUGAAAGGCUACGGCUCAACCGUAGUAAGCCUUUGAAACUGGGAAACUUGAGUGCAGGAGAGGAGAGUGGAAUUCCUAGUGUAGCGGUGAAAUGCGUAGAUAUUAGGAGGAACACCAGUUGCGAAGGCGGCUCUCUGGACUGUAACUGACACUGAGGCACGAAAGCGUGGGGAGCAAACAGGAUUAGAUACUCGGGUAGUCCCUGAGCGGG
rnacentral:rRNA from 1 species